rfam:uncultured archaeon A07HB70 genomic scaffold scf7180000021289, whole genome shotgun sequence.
GCCGAAGUAGCUCAGUUGGUAGAGCGCCUCGCUGUUAACGAGGCGGUCCCAGGUUCGAGUCCUGGCUUCGGCG